rnacentral:rRNA from 1 species
UGGGGAAUAUUGCACAAUGGACGGAAGUUUGAUGCAGCGACGCCGCGUGGAGGGUGUAGGCCUUCGGGUUGUGAACUCCUUUUUCUCGCGAAAAAGGCACAGUUUUGGCUGUGUUGAUGGUAGUGGGGGAAGAAGCGCCGGCUAACUACGUGCCAGCAGCCGCGGUAAUACGUAGGGCGCGAGCGUUGUCCGGAGUUAUUGGGCGUAAAGAGCUCGUAGAUGGUUCGUCGCGUCUGUCGUGAAAGCCAGCAGCUUAACUGUUGGUCUGCGGUGGGUACGGGCGGGCUUGAGUGCGGUAGGGGUGACUGCAAUUCCUGGUGUAGCGGUGGAAUGCGCAGAUAUCAGGGGGAACACCGAUGGCGAAGGCAGGUCACUGGGCCGUUACUGACACUGAGGAGCGAAAGCGUGGGGAGCGAACAGG